CAUGAAUAGCGACUUGUUAAUGUUUAUAAUAAAUCUAUGAGGAUGGUACAAGAAGCUGAUACUAUUUAUGAAAGGCUAAGAUCUCGUCUUUAGUUUCACCGACUAAUCAAGCAAGAUCUCGAAGAGGAGUUGCCAUUGUUGUUGUUAGUGAGGAAGGAUGGCAAGGAGCAUCACUAUUAUAAAGUCCAUAUGUGGAAGUAGGGUAAGCGGUUUGCUGAGAUCUAAAUGAAAAGAAGACCAUGAUCAAGAAAGACUACAUUAUAUCGUCAAGAGGAAGAUCCCAGAAACUAGGCAUAGAAGGAUCGAGUCUUUUCAGAUCGGUCAAAAGGGUGCAAAGUAAGUGGUUUAGUCAUAAGAUGGGGAAGCAUGCAUUUUUCCACCUUCAAUUCUCGUUUAGCAAGAGUUAGAUCCCCCAAAUAGGGAGAGUUUUGAUCUAGAAGGAUCACUAGACCUAAUACUUAUAUUUAAUCGACCUCGUAAUCUUUGGCCCUCCACCAUUGGUAGCCUAGUGGCCAAGUCUUGAGUGCCUCUUUCCCUAUUAAGUCAAGGGUAUUUUUACUCUUUUACAACCCUGGUUAACAUUAACCAAGUUUUGCUUAGCUGAUUUAGUCAAAUGGAGAGAUUUACAAGAAAUUUUUUUAUACAUGUAUGAAAAGAUAGGAUAAAUAUGCAACAUGAAAAAUUUCAAGGACUAAUUUACAAAAUCCUAACAAACAUAUCAUAUAAAUAAGUUGAUUUGAUAAUGAUGAAUAAAGUUAGAAACCAGGGAAGGUGGAAGCUUAGGUUAGCAAGUUUUUAUUAGGGCUAAGACUGAAACUUAGUCCUAAAGAGUAAGUUAGAAAGUUAUUUGGUUUUUAUAAUAUUUUAGUACCUUGAAACAAAUUGAUCCAAAUAGACUGAAUCCAUGUUGACUUGAUUCAAUUGAAG
rnacentral:lncRNA from 1 species